rnacentral:rRNA from 1 species
AACGUGCCCUGUAGUGGGGGAUAACUAGUCGAAAGAUUAGCUAAUACCGCAUACGACCUGAGGGUGAAAGUGGGGGACCGCAAGGCCUCAUGCUAUAGGAGCGGCCGAUGUCUGAUUAGCUAGUUGGUGGGGUAAAGGCCCACCAAGGCGACGAUCAGUAGCUGGUCUGAGAGGACGAUCAGCCACACUGGGACUGAGACACGGCCCAGACUCCUACGGGAGGCAGCAGUGGGGAAUUUUGGACAAUGGGCGAAAGCCUGAUCCAGCAAUGCCGCGUGUGUGAAGAAGGCCUUCGGGUUGUAAAGCACUUUUGUCCGGAAAGAAAUGGCUCUGGUUAAUACCUGGGGUCGAUGACGGUACCGGAAGAAUAAGGACCGGCUAACUACGUGCCAGCAGCCGCGGUAAUACGUAGGGUCCAAGCGU